AAGUCGUAACAAGGUUUCCGUAGGUGAACCUGCGGAAGGAUCAUUAACACGUAUAUCGUUUUAAAUCCCUUCAACCCCUCUGUGAACUAAAACAACCUUUUAAACCUAAAUCCUGAGUAUGAUGCGUAAAACCAACUACUUGGGUCGCUCCAGCUUGACUUCUUGGCUUCUGGGCUGCUGUUAGGCGUGCGUUCGCUCUUCUUCGGAAUUUGCGGAUGGCAGGGCGUUACAACCAAAACCCUUGACUAUUAUUACUGAAACCCCCCUAACUUAGGCAGUGUCCGCUUGCGGCCGCUGUCUGGUUAACAAAAAUACAAAAACAACUCUUAACAACGGAUAUCUUGGUUCUC
rnacentral:misc_RNA from 1 species